UGCCAGCCUAGCUCUAUAUCCAGUGAAGAAGGCCCCUUUCUGAAAGGAGUAUGACAGAGUAUGAUAGAGCAGGACACCUGAUGUCCUCUUCUGAUUUCCUUGGAGGGUGAGAUCCGAGGAGAGUGCGGAAGAACGAAGGUGCUUGUGUGACGCUGCCCUGUCAGUGGCUGUGAGGGGAACCAUCGGAGGAAAGGAAGCAUCAGGACCAAAGAGGAGGGCGCUGUGGAAGGGUGUGCGAGGACACAUCCGGGAGACAGGAGACAUCGGAUCCCAGGAUGGAAUGGAGAGGGAAGAGCAAAGACACAAGGCCGCUUCCCCACACUCUCCAGGAGCUCUGAGGGCUUAGAUGUGUGGGUGGCGGUGCUACUGGAGGACGUGAAAAGAAGCACAGGAAGGGACACAGAGGCAACGGGAAAGAGGAAGUAGUCCCACAGCUGUCCCAGUAGCGGCUUCUGAGGUUCACCAAGGCUCUUUCACUGAACCUAGAGCUCACUGAUUCAGCUGGGACAACUAGCAGUGAGCUUUAGGGCGCUGCCUCUCUCCUCCCGAGCCCAGCGCUGAGAUUAGACCCCUAAGGCCGUGCCCAUCGUUUUUUUAGGGUGUGGCCAGAGUCAAAGGGAAGACAACGGGAGAGGCCUAGAGGAUGUUCCGGAUGCCGACAGCUGGUACCUGCUGAGGUUCUUGAAGUCAUGAUUUCUGUUUCUUCCUUGAUCAGUUCUAAAGAUUCUUCUGCAUCAUGGGUAUUUCAUCAAACACCCAUAGAGUAGCCAGGAUUUGGGGGGACCACAGAUAGAUGUUCUAUCUAUCUAUCUAUCUAUCUAUCUAUCUAUCUAUCUAUCUAUCUAUCUAUGUGUGUCUGUCUGUCUGUCUGUCUGUCUGCCUGCCUGCCUACCCACCCACCUACCUAUGUAUCUGAUGUCUUACUCUGCAGCUCAGGCUGCCCUGGAAUUCUAUAUAGUUUAGGCUUGCCCUUGAAUCUGUGUCCAUGUCCGUUUCUCAGUCUUCCAAGUGCUGGGAUUACAGGCUAGAAUCACCACACCCAAUUAGAAGCCGAUAGUUCUAUAGGUUAUUCUAUAGUUGAGAAAACUAUUGAGGAGUCAGUCUCAUUGGGGCUGGACAAAGGUGGCACCUGAGCUGGAUUUUCUGACCCUGCUGCUCUCUGGGGUACCCUGACGCUGUGUUGCAAAACCUUUCCCGGGGAGAUGCUAUGUAAGUGUUACAGCUCUGAGGAGAAAGGCUUCCUCAGUGGAGGUGUUACAGCUCUGAGGGGGAAGAUCCCCCCCCCGCCCCGCCCCGCCUCCUGCCUGCAUGUGUUACAGCUCUGAAGGGAAAGGUAUCCUGGCAGUUGAAAGCCAAGGAAUAACACAAAGUCUCAUCACCACACAAGUGAUAUAUUGGGAAAGACACAUUAGGGUAGCUGCCUCUACUGGGGCAAGUGAGCAGGUGACAGAUUUUAUAUAGGGUUUCUCCGGGGUAGGGGUGAAGUUUUAAAGGCUAGUGGUUUCUAGGGUGGGGGAUUGUGGAGGUUCAAGCCUAGCCCAGGGGUUGGUGGGAUUUCAUGCUCAGGAAUUGGUGGGUUCUGGUAGGUUUUCAAACCCAGAAGUGGGCUCAGAUCUUUUACCAUACAUACUAUAUAUAUGUCUAUUCACCCCACAUAGGAAGCCCAUGCAGAACAAAGUAUGGAUACCAGCAAAAGCCAACUUGAUGAGCCAACGAAUUUCUUUUUUUAAAAAAUCUU